UGUGUGUGGCCUGAAGGUUAAAUAUUUAAGAUUUGAAUUCUCACCAACCUUAACUUGGAUUGGAGACGGUCUGUCUUUAAUCACAACCAUCCAUGAUUGGCUCGAUAGAUGGAAUUAGAUGGGUCCCACCAUAGCAUUUGGGGCAAUGUAUUGGUAUGUCCCAUAUCCAAUCACAGCUAUCGCACCCAUCACAGGUGGCUAUGAUUAGAAGACAG
rnacentral:lncRNA from 1 species